GGUUCUUUAACUCAGUUGGUAGAGUGCUUCCAUGACAUGGAAGAAGUCGACAGUUCAAGUCUGUCAAGAACCACCA
rnacentral:tRNA from 1 species